rnacentral:rRNA from 1 species
GACGAACGCUGGCGGCGUGCUUAAUACAUGCAAGUCAACGAUUUUUAAGAUAGCAAUAUUUCAAAAAAUAGUGGCGCACGGGUGAGUAACACGUAGAUAAUCUGCCUUUAGGUCUGACAUAACUCGUCGAAAAGACGGGCUAAAUAUCAGAUAAAACAAUAACUUGGCAUCAAGUAAUUGUCAAAGCUUCGGCGCCCAAAGAUGAGUCUGCGGACCCAUUUAGGUAGUUGGUGGAUUUAACCAGCCCACCAAGCCAACGAUGGAUAGCUGGUCUGAGAGGAUGAUCAGCCACACUGGAACUGAGACACGGUCCAGACUCCUACGGAAGGCAGCAGUAAGGAAUAUUGCUCAAUGGGAGAAAUCCUGAAGCAGCAACGCCGCGUGAAGGAAGAAGGGUCUUC